rnacentral:rRNA from 1 species
GCCAGACUCCUACGGGAGGCAGCAGUGGGGAAUAUUGCACAAUGGGGGAAACCCUGAUGCAGCGACGCCGCGUGAAGGAAGAAGUAUUUCGGUAUGUAAACUUCUAUCAGCAGGGAAGAGAAUGACGGUACCUGACUAAGAAGCCCCGGCUAACUACGUGCCAGCAGCCGCGGUAAUACGUAGGGGGCAAGCGUUAUCCGGAUUUACUGGGUGUAAAGGGAGCGUAGGCGGUUUAGCAAGUCAGAAGUGAAAGCCCGGGGCUCAACUCCGGGACUGCUUUUGAAACUGUGCGGCUAGAGUACUGGAGGGGCAGGCGGAAUUCCUAGUGUAGCGGUGAAAUGCGUAGAUAUUAGGAGGAACACCAGUGGCGAAGGCGGCCUGCUGGACAGUAACUGACGUUGAGGCUCGAAAGCGUGGGGAGCAAACAGGAUUAGAUACCCUGGUAGA